GACGAACGCUGGCGGCGUGCUUAACACAUGCAAGUCGAGCGAGGCCCCUCCUUCGGGAGGGUGUCCUAGCGGCGAACGGGUGAGUGACACGUGGGCAACCUGCCCUCAGCUCUGGGAUAACUCCGGGAAACCGGGGCUAAUACCGGAUACGACCUCCACGGGCAUCUGCGGAGGUGGAAAGUUUUUCGGCUGAGGAUGGGCCCGCGGCCUAUCAGCUAGUUGGUGGGGUAGUGGCCCACCAAGGCGACGACGGGUAGCCGGCCUGAGAGGGCGACCGGCCACACUGGGACUGAGACACGGCCCAGACUCCUACGGGAGGCAGCAGUGGGGAAUAUUGCGCAAUGGGCGAAAGCCUGACGCAGCGACGCCGCGUGAGGGACGAAGGCCUUCGGGUUGUAAACCUCUUUCAGCAGGGACGAAGCGAAAGUGACGGUACCUGCAGAAGAAGCACCGGCCAACUACGUG
rnacentral:rRNA from 1 species